rnacentral:rRNA from 1 species
GAUGAACGCUGGCGGCGUGCCUAAUACAUGCAAGUCGAGCGAACAGACGAGGAGCUUGCUCCUCUGACGUUAGCGGCGGACGGGUGAGUAACACGUGGAUAACCUACCUAUAAGACUGGGAUAACUUCGGGAAACCGGAGCUAAUACCGGAUAAUAUAUUGAACCGCAUGGUUUAAUAGUGAAAGACGGUUUUGCUGUCACUUAUUGAUGGAUCCGCGCCGCAUUAGCUAGUUGGUAAGGUAACGGCUUACCAAGGCAACGAUGCGUAGCCGACCUGAGAGGGUGAUGGGCCACACUGGAACUGAAACACGGUCAAGACUCCUACGGGAGGAAGAAGUAGGGAAUCUUCCGAAAGGGGCGAAAGCUUGACGGAGAAAGGCCGCGUGAGUGAUGAAGGUCUUCGGAUCGUAAGACUCUGUUAUUAGGGAAGAACAAAUGUGUAAGUAACUAUGCACGUCUUGACGGUACCUAAUCAGAAAGCCACGGCUAACUACGUG